UACGUAGGUGGCAAGCGUUGUCCGGAAUUAUUGGGCGUAAAGCGCGCGCAGGCGGUCCUUUAAGUCUGAUGUGAAAGCCCACGGCUCAACCGUGGAGGGUCAUUGGAAACUGGGGGACUUGAGUACAGAAGAGAAGAGUGGAAUUCCACGUGUAGCGGUGAAAUGCGUAGAUAUCGGGAAGAACACCCGUGGCGAAGGCGGUUCUCUGGGACGGUACUGACGCUGAGACGCGAAAGCGUGGGGAGCGAACAGG
rnacentral:rRNA from 1 species